rnacentral:rRNA from 1 species
AUUGAACGCUGGCGGCAGGCCUAACACAUGCAAGUCGAACGAGUGGCGGACGUGUGAGUAAUGUCUGGGAAACUGCCUGAUGGAUGGGGAUAACUACUGGAAACGGUAGCUAAUACCGCAUACCAUCGGAUGUUCCCCGAUGGGAUUAGCUUGUAUGUGGGGUAAAGGCUCACCUAGGCGCCGAUCCCUAGCUGGUCUGAGAGGAUGACCAGCCACACUUGAACUGAGACACGGUCCAGACUCCGACGGGAGGCAGCAGUGGGGAAUAUUGCACAAUGGGCGCAAGCCUGAUGAAGCCAUGCCGCGUGUAUGAAGAAGGCCUUCGGGUUGUAAAGUACUUUCAGCGGGGAGGCGUUAAACGGAGAAGAAGCACCGGCUAACUCCGUGCCAGCAGCCGCGGUAAUAG